GGUCUAUUAGUAUAGUGGUUAUUAUACGCCCCUGUCACGGGCAUGACACGAGUUCGAUUCUCGUAUAGACCGCCA
rnacentral:tRNA from 1 species